CAAGACUCCUCCGAAUGCGGCCCACGAAUGCAGCCUUCUUUUCCCGGAUUUGGAGGAUCUGAUGUAUCCUCCACGGUUUACCAAAUCCCAGGAUGCAAUGGGCGACGGUGACGAAUUCGUUUUUUAAAAAAAAAGAAAAUGGCUUCUAACGUACCGGCAACGUUCUUAUUAUACAUCCAUGACCGGCAACGGCUGAAGCUUCGGCAGGAGCUGGGUUUGUUUUUAAAUGGAGCAAGGAGCAGACUGCUCAAUUUAUACAAAUGCGUGGGGAGAAUGAAUCCCUCUUCACCGGGGCCACAUUCUCCGCAAACAUUGCUUGGAGGACGGUUUUGGAAGAUAUGGGCCUGCAGGGAAGUGUAACUCCGCUGCAAGCUAAGAAGAAGUGGGACAAUCUUAAAAAAAGAUGAACAAGCAGUGAAGGGGAAUCUGGAGCAGAUUGUGGAGAACUUCAGACAGUUCUGACACACUCAAUAGUCAAGGCAGCAGGGUCUCCUCCAAAGCCCUGACUCCAUCUGAGAGGAAUGCAUGAGCUGGAUGCUCUGACACACACAUGCACAACACGCAAGUGCACAUGCUUGCUUGCAAACAUGAGGGCAAACCCGUGCACGCACAUUCACACAGCUGUCUCUGGAGGGGAUAUCUGGCAGCAGCAGGUGGUUUCAAAACACUUACUGGAAUCACAGUCACUCCCUCACCAAGGCCGCGUCGCUGACAAACUUGCUGUAAUGCUUGUGAAAAUAAGAUCAAGAUAUAAAGUUUGCCGAAAGGCAACAGCAAUAUACAUGGUUUAAACUUUCAGAUUUAACUUUGGGGGCUCUUUUCACACUCACUUUUACACCUACAUGACAUUUUAGAGUCUCCAGUUCACUAGACUUGCUGGUGGGAGGUGAUGGGAGCAAAGAAGAGCCCUAUGGGUCUAUGUUUUCAUCCUAUGAUAGACUGGACGACACCUGAUGCAUGCUGGGAUUGGCUCCAGCUCGACUGCUGACCCUGACCAGGAGAAGUGCAUGGGUGUUUAAUAAUGGAUGGGCUCAAUUUAAAUGCACAUGGCAGAGAUGAUGACAUCUGUGAUGCUGAAUUGAAAUAGAUCCACAUGCUGAAUUCAGAUUUGGACUGCUGGAGGACUUUAGGCAUUACUUUCACUUGGCUUCACUCAGAUCUUAAGCUUCUUUGUCCUCCCCUCCUUAUUGUGGAAAACUGUGUCAUGAACUUCUCACCUGUUCAUGUUUAUGUGGUAAAACGUUGUGGUGAAGCAUAUUUCUUCACUUAUGGUGCCUGUAUUUGUACUUUACAUAUUAUGUAUGCUUGUAAUUAUGCUUAAGUGGAAACAUGCUUUUAUAACAGCUCCCCAUUGCCAAAACACGACGUUCUUAAGGAGAAAAUUGAUCCAC